GCGUCUAGUGUAACGGAUAGCGCUUUUGCCCUUCAAUCUACAGGUCUUGGGUUCGAUUCCACAUGGCGCC